UACGGAGGAUGCGAGCGUUAUCCGGAUUUAUUGGGUUUAAAGGGUGCGUAGGCGGCUUAGUAAGUCAGCGGUGAAAUUUUGUCAGCUUAACUGUAACAGUGCCGUUGAUACUGCCAGGCUAGGAUUUGGUUGCUGUGGGUGGAAUGUGUGGUGUAGCGGUGAAAUGCUUAGAUAUCACACAGAACACCGAUUGCGAAGGCAGCACACUAAGUCAUUAUUGACGCUGAGGCACGAAAGUGUGGGGAGUCAAACAGGAUUA
rnacentral:rRNA from 1 species